AUAACACAUGCAAGUCGAACGAUGAAACUUAGUAGACUUCUUCGGAAUGACACUAAGCGAAUUAGUGGCGAACGGGUGAGUAACGCGUGAGUAACCUGCCUUACACAAGGGGAUAGCCUUUGGAAACGAAGAAUAAUACCCUAUAAAACUAUAAAAGCACAUGCUAGAAUGGUCAAAGUGCUAGCGGUGUAAGAUGGACUUGCGUCUGAUUAGCUAGUUGGUGAGAUAAAAGCUCACCAAGGCAACGAUCAGUAGCCGGCUUGAGAGAGUGUACGGCCACAUUGGGACUGAGACACGGCCCAGACUCCUACGGGAGGCAGCAGUGGGGAAUUUUGCACAAUGGGGGAAACCCUGAUGCAGCGACGCCGCGUGAUUUAGAAGGCCUUCGGGUUGUAAAAAUCUUUUGUAUAGGAAGAAAAUGACAGUACUAUACGAAUAAGGUCCGGCUAAUUACGUGCCAGCAGCCGCGGUAAUACGUAAGGACCGAGCGUUGUCCGGAAUCGUUGGGCGUAAAGGGUACGUAGGCGGCUAGAAAAGUUAGAAGUCAAAGGCUAUAGCUCAACUAUAGUAAGCUUCUAAAACUAUUUAGCUUGAGAAAUGGAAGGGAAAGUGGAAUUCCUAGUGUAGCGGUGGAAUGCGCAGAUAUUAGGAAGAAUACCGGUGGCGAAGGCGACUUUCUGGCCAUUAUCUGACGCUGAGGUACGAAAGCGUGGGUAGCAAACAGGAUUAG
rnacentral:rRNA from 2 species